ACUCGAAAGGUAAACAAAGUGCCUUCUGGGAAGAGUCCAACCGUUCGGGAGUGUUUGUAAACAAUCGAUAACGUUUGGAGCGAGUCAUGUUAGUGGUUGAUCACCAGCUUCUGUUGGAGUCCGAACGGUUGCUGGUCUUCUAAGUUGUUUUAGGGAUCCUGUUAUCGGCGAUUUAACCGUCUCGGGAAAGACGUUGACCGUUGAGGUGUGUAAGUAUUUUUAGAGAGAGUGCGCAAAAUUGUUGCGCACUCUUCGCUGAUUUUGGCUUCGUUAGUUUGUGUCAUAACAGAAGAUUCACAAAGGAUUCUUUACUCACAGCUGUAUGCUCUUCGGUGUUUCGCUUUGGAAUGUUUUCUCAAUAGACGUGAGUAAUCCAUGUCAGUUUCAAUUUGUUUACAUUAUCCUAAUGUUACCGAAUUAUUUAUUUUUUCUACUUUACAGGUAUACUCAAUCAAUAUGGAAACUUGAUGAUAAGGUGUUCAAAGAACAAAAGGAGACUCAUAAAAAUACGAUUUUAGACGAUUAAUCUGUCAAAUAAGUAGAUGUUGUAGUAAAUUUCUUUUUGUUUUCAGCAGUAAAUUUCCUUUUCACAGACAGAAAAGUAUACAAAGGGACUUUUUAAGGUCAAGCCUAACACUGAUAUGGUACAACAUGAACGUGAAGUUGGCAGCAUUUGGCACUGCUGCUAAUAGAUGAAAAUAGAUGGAGAAUUACGAUAAGGCUCAAGUUGCACCAGAUCAACUUGAAGUUCAUCAUUAUGUGUGUCAAGUAAGUACAAGUUGACUUGGAAUUCCUGAUAAAAUAUGCCAGUUUCAGGGUUGCUUGCUUCCAUUAGACACGUGAAAGUCUAUGAAAAGACGAUUGUUGAAAUGAAGUGUUACCAUGAAACGAUACAUAAAACGUUUUACAUUUGACGCCGUUGGAGAUCUACGAUAAUGCUGCACCAGUUGUGCCAGAUCCUUUUGCAAAUAAUUCUAGAGAAAAUCAAGUAAGUGUAUCAGUUUUGUUUAAUAAUGCAGCAGAUUAACUUGAAGUUCAUUAUUUUGUAUGCCAAGUAAGUAGAAGUUGUCUUGGAAUUCUUAAUAAAAUAUAAAAUAUUCUAGUUUCAGGAGAGAUGGCUUCCUUUAGCCAGAUGAGAGUAUGUCUUUUUUUACCAAGAAACGAUACAUAAAACGGUUUUUCAUUUGACACUGCUGCUUAUAGAAUAUUUGAUAUGUUUGAAAUCGAGGCGAAUAACUACGAAGCUAGAGAUCUACGAUAAAGCUGAAGUUGCACCAGUUCCUUUGCAGAUAAUCUCAAGGAAUGUUAAGUAGGUUCAAGUGUUUCAAUUUUGUUCAAUAAAACACCAGAUCAACUUGAAGUUCAUCAUUGUGUGUGUCAAGUAAGUAUAAGUUGUCUUGAAAUUACUAAUAAAAUAUUCUAGUUUCAGCAGCCUGAGCCUAUAAAAGGACGAUUGUUGAGAUGAAGUGUUAUCCAGAAACGAUACAUAAAACUAUAUGCAUUUGACACCGCUGUUAAUAGAAAAUUUGAAAUGAUCGAGAUCGCAGCCAAUAACUACCAAACUUGAGAUCUACGACAAAGCUGAAGUUGCAUCGGAUCCUUUGCAGAUAAUCCCAGAGAAAGUCGAGUAAGUUGAAGUGUUUCAAUUUUGCUCAAUAAUGCACCAGAUCAACUUGAAGUUCAUCAUUGUGUGUGUCAAGCAAGUGGAAUUUGUCUUGGAAUUUUUAAUAAAAUAUUCUCGUUUCAGGGUAGCUCGCUUUCUUUAAACAGAUGAAAGUCUAUGAAAAGACGAUUGUUGAGAUGAAACAGUUUGCAUUUGACACCGCUGUUAAUAGAAAAUUUUAUGUGUUCGAGAUCGAAGCGAAUAACUACUAAACUGAAGAUCUGCGAUAAAGCUGAAGUUCCACCAGAUCCUUUGCAGAUAAUCCCAGGGAAAGUCAAUUUCAGGAUAGCUUGCUCCCUUCAGACAGGUGAAAGUCUAUGAAAAGACGAUUGUUGAGAUGACGUGUUACCAAGAAACGAUACAUGAACCGAUUUGCAUUUGACACCGCUGUUAAUAGAAAAUUUGAUAUUCGAGUUCAAGGCGAAUAACUACCAAACUGGAGAUCCUCGAUGAAGCUGAAAUUGCACUAGACCCUUUGCAGAUAAUCCAAGAGAAAGUCAAGUAAGUUGGAGUGUUUUAAUUGUGUGUAAUAAUGCACCAUAUCAACUAGAAAUUCAUCGUUUUGUGUGUCAAGUAAGUAAAUGUUGUCUUGGGAUUACUUAUAAAAUAUUCUAGUUUCAGGAUAUUGCAUUGGAAACCACUGUUAACAGCAAAUUUGAAAUGUUUGUGAUCGAGGCGAAUAACUUUCAAUUUUGUUGAAUAAUGCACCAGAUCAACUAGAAGUUCAUCAUUGUGUGUGUCAAGUAAAAACAGGUUAUCUUGGAAUUCCUAAUAAAAAUUCUAGUUUCAGGGUAUCUUGCUCCCUUUGACAAGUGAAAGUCUAUGAAAAGUUGAUUGUCGAGAUGAAGUGUUAUUAAGAAACGAUACAUAAAACGAUUUGCAUUUGACACCGCUGUUAAUAGAAAAUUUGAUAUGUUCGAGAUCGAGGCGAAUAACUAGCAAACUGGAGAUCUACGAUAAAGCUAAAGUUCCACCAGAUCCUUUGCAGAUAAUCUCAGGGAAAGUCAAGAAAGUGUUCAAUUUUGUUCAAAAAUGACCAGAUCAACUUGAGGCUCAUCACUGUGUAUGUCAAGUAAGUAGAAGUUGUCUUGGAAAUCCUAAUAAAAUAUUUUAGUUUCAGGAUAGCUUGCUCCCUUCAGACAGGUGAAAGUCUAUGAAAAGACGAUUGUUGAGAUGAAGUGUUACCAAGAAACGAUAUAUAAAAAACAAUGUGUAUUUGACACCGCUGUUAAUAGAAAAUUUUAUAUGUUCGAGUUCGAGGCGAAUACCUACCAAACCAGAGAUGUAUGAUAAAGCUGAUGUUGCACCUGAUCCUUUGGAGAUAAUCCCAGAGAAAAUAACUUUAAGUCAAUUUUUCGUUGACUUAUGCUGCCUAUGCCGUGGGCAUGUUAACGAGAAAACGGAACACAGUUAAAUCCUUGGGAAAGGCACACUGAAUGUGUCCGAAACGCCGGAUGAAAACAUAAAACCCGUUUUUGAUCAUAAUAGACUGAAAGCCAUAACCUAGAACACAAUCAUCACAGUCGUAUCCCCGAGAAAGUAGCGGUCAAGUGUAACCAAGAAACGAUACGUUAUGCAACUGAAUGACAACAAAUCUGGAGAUCGACAAUGAAGUUUAAAUUACAUCUAACUGUACGCAAUUCAUCAAAGAGCAAAUCAAGUAAGUGGAAGUUUUAACUGAUUAAAUCCAGAUGGUGUGCAUGUAAACGAGAAAACGGAACACAGUUAAAUCCUUGAGAAAAGCACAAUUAAUGUGUCCAAAACGUCGGAUGAAAACAUAAAAUUCGUUUUUGAACAUAAUAGACUGAAAGCCAUAACCUAGAACAUGAUCAUCACAGUCGUAUCGACAAUGAAGCUUCAAUUACAUCCAACUAUACGCAAUUCACCAAGAGCAAAUCAAGUAUGUAGGAGUUUUAAAUAAUAGAAUUCAGAUGGUUUCCUUCAGGCCGAUGAAUGUCAGAAGAGACGAUUGUUUAGUUCAAAAAACGAUGCAUUAAGCAAUUCGCAUUUGACACUGCUGUAAAUGGAAAAUUUAAUAUGUUCUUGACGAACAACAACAAUUCUGAAGAGCUACGAUAAAUUUUAAGAUUCACACAAACCGUGAGCAAGUCACCAAAAAGCAAGUCAAGAAGGUAAAAGUACCGAAUUCCAUAAUAAAGUAAAACAAAUAUUUUUUGUAAUUUUUAGUUUUUGCAUUUAUUAAUAAGAAUCAAUGUUUCUGAAGUCGACCUUCCAUACAAUUUCUAAUAGACUUAUUGAGUUAGUUCAACUCAAUCUAGAAUUCUAUAUCGCUCCAAAAGCAUACAAUAUACAGCUAGUGUGAAAGUGUCGCCUUGUCAGAAAAAUAUGCAAAUAGCUUUCCGCUUAGCUGAGGUUUGUACUUCUAUGCUUGCUUACAAAUAAUCAAAACCAACACAGAGUGGCAGAUAACAUCGCGCUGAUAGAGGCGUAAACAAAGUGUAGCUGCUAAACCUAUAGAAGAGCUUAGAGCUGUUCGCUUCCCAUGUCCCAUUCGGAGCCGCUUUAUGCACCGGAAUGGACAUCAGCAGUGAAUCACUUCGUGAUUUUUUCGAUGCUCCCGCUCUACAAUUUCAUUGCCGGCUGCGAUAAUAACGCUGCUGGACGCGCGCACUGCCCCUUAUCGCCAUCAGCUGUCGUCUAUGCGAUUUUCUGACGUGCGAAAUAUAAAUAUUCCUCCGGCAAUCGGUUGGUCGGGGUGCUGAUUUGACGGUGACGCCCCGGUUCAGCAGUACAACGUUACAAACUUGUUAAUGUUGUGUUUAUUCUUAGACAAAUUUUUCAUUUCAAUUUAAGGGGGCGUAAGGCAAUCGUUUCUGAACACGAUAAGUUUCCGGUCAUAUAGUGACCAUAUCAAUCGAACGUAGAAAGGAAAAACCCAUGCGACAGGAAAUCAGACUUUUGCUUUUUCUCUUUUGAGUGAUAAGUUUGUAGACAGCGAAUGAGCAAAAAGUCACGUAUCUAUGCAGUGUACAAGCAUAGGCAUGACAUUGGUAGCGUAGCCAUACAAUUUCGAAGGUCAGUUUUCUGUCCUUUGUAUUCUCGUUAUCACACUGCAUUCCAGCAGGGAACGACCUUUUUGGGGUUCAUGCUGUGCAGUUAUUCCGCAGAUUGGAAACGGAAAUUUGCGCCAUAUAUUCGGAAACCGGUCAAACUGGAUGAAUUACCCAACCUUGAACGAAUGAUUUAAUUAACAGUAAUAAGGAAGCUUCUUGCCGAGUGCGUUUCCGAUACACUUGAAUGCGCUUGCGACCGCCAUGGCAGUCAAACUGCUGGCUACUGUAUCCCAAGUCCCAUGCUGUGAGCAACUUGGAUUUGUGGUUUUCGACUACUCGCAUUAUGUUUCAAUUGGGUGUAACUGCAAUAAUGGAUUCUACAGAAUUGAUUUUUAGGUUUUAUUACAAAAUCAUUCAUAGCAGUUAAUAACUAAGCCGAGAAAUCUAUAAAAUGAAAUCGAUCCCUCAAUUUACGCCCCUAUGCUACUCUGAACGAGAGAUUUUAUUGCAUCGAAUGCUAUAUUGAGCAGUAAUGCGUCUUCUCUGCUGCUACCACAGCAAAAUUUCUCCCAUCAUAUAAAUAUUUAUCUUGGCUAGUCAGCCAGUUUCGAAGAAACACUCCGAUUAAAUUUUGGCGGCUGCCCAAUGUCGGGAAACCCCAAAGAGUCGCCGGCAAAAUCGUCGAGUGUUGAUGUUUUGCUGUAUAAAUAUGAGGCGUAUAACUAUGUGCACUAGCUUUGGAGGUCAGUGGCGUGGUUAUAUGGCAUAGAGAGAAAACGGUGGAAAACGGAAAAUCCUCCUUGAUGGGCUAUAGCAAGCAGUAUGUAGCUUGUUCGGCUAAAUGGAUUUCAUUUAGUAAAGAUUGAAAACUAUUAGAGGCGAUAUUUCUCAAUUUUCAUACUGAAUGAUCAGAACUGUUAAUCUUGUAAUUCGAGUUCUCUACCAUUCAAGUAACUGACGGUUACAAGUACAAAUGUGUUUUCUUUUCUCGUUGCUUGCAGAGCAAUGAAAAGAACAAAGAGCGCAGUUAAAUACUCGCCGUUACUGAGCUGACAUUUCCUUAUUUAAAUCCGCCGUGUACUAAACGCCAUGUAUCAGAACAACAAAUUGAAUCUGGAUGGCUAUGCGGUCGCAGUGACGACGACGAUGGUGGCUAUUGACCGGCACCAUGUUGGCUAAAUCGAAAGCAGUUGGAACACGUGCAGCUAGCACUCCAAUUUGCUAUAGCAGUUCCAUUUUUGUGACACUCGGUUUCCUCACUUGGAACAAAGGGCAUAAAAGUCAUGACGCGAAUAACGACCAUAAAUGAUUAUGUUUAUACCGCCCAUAGAUUCUGAUGGAACACGUUGGUGCACGUUCUGAACGUGCGGUGCGUGUGGCAUGCGUCGCUCCUACAGGUACCGAGUGGCUCCAUGUCCCAUUGCGAGCCUGCAGACACCGGCGGCGGCGUGGCGACAUGGCGUGUGCCAUAAAAUCAAACAAACAUACUAAAAAUUUCGCAAUUUCAUGACAUACUUUAGGGGGCGUCUGUCGCUAUCUCUAUCUCGUCGUUUGCUCGCACUUCGCUGCCACUUCGGUUUGCUCGCUUCGGUUGGUUGCUAGGCUAGGGUGCCGCCGCUUACUUAGGUAUGAAGUGCAGCUCUCUGCGGUGAUGCCUUUUUGUACUGCAUUAAGUGCAUGCCAGGCUGUUGCCAUAUGCUCCUCAAGUCCGAAUCGACCGUGAACCGCACCACCAAAAACGAUAAAGCGGCGUCGCCGUCGUCGUCAACCGUUGAGGAUACGAGUGCAAAUAAAUUCCUAAACGAAUGUGGCUAUCCGUCGCCGUUAUGGCACGCUUGUACAUACGGCAAAACGGGGGGUCCACUGGAAGGACAAAUGGGUUGCAACGAUUUUUUGCUGCGCUUCUCGAACAAUCUUUCAUCGAGGGACUACAGUAGUGACCUUCGCUUUGUGGAUAUCUGCUUUGAAUAACAGUUGUUCAAAACAACCGCCUCACGGUUGCUUUGUUCAAACGAGACACGCCCCAACACGGCUGGCUGGAUUUCAUACCAUUCGUCGAAAUGUAAUUUACUUGUUUUGCGUGACAAUCACGUAAAAUUAGCGCCUCUCGCUUCGAUGAAACGAUGGAGGUGAAAGCGGAACGCACGCUCUCUCCUCCCACUUUGUGUGAAGCCAUAAAGCGAUUCGUCCUUAUUUGUCAGCAGCGAACGUCGCUAUCUGGUCGCCCUAUCAGUGAAACUUUCAAGCUCACAAUAAACAAAGAACGCUCACAUGGUAUGGAUAAACAGUGAUUUCUUUAUUCAUAUACUGGUGCACAGCGUAGACGUCGGCCUAUACAUAGACCUGCUAUCGCUUGCAAAACAAAGUAGCCCAUCGAUGUGCGCGCUGUGCGCAGACAACGGAAUUCUUCCUACCGUAGAGCAACGCAAGUCAAGGAAAGGAACCGUAUCCGGUUGUUUGUUUCGUCUUCCACCCGUCUGCUUAAUAAGGCGAUAAAAGCCUGAGUUCACACUGCGCACAUAUGGUGUCUCCGUCAAUCCAUCUCCGUGUCAUUGUAAUUGACACAGAAUCGGAACCUAAAUUUACAUAGGCGCUUUUGAACACACUCUAAUGUGACAGUGGUAGCGGCAGCCACAAUAACAACAAAAACACGUUUUUGCGACGUCAUUUGCAAGCCGUCGUCGUAGUCUUGGUUGUUGGCUUCCUCCACGUAGAGGUUUUUUAGCGUUAUAACGCUGUGAAGCUGGAGCCAAAUGGCUUAAGAGCUUAAUGAAUGCCAUUUCUUGACGCAGCCAAAGUUGGAGGACAGCCGGAAUUGUUGUUUUCUUUGCUCCCACACAUCGUACGUUUUGUGCGGUCGUUCGACCAAACGGGCAGUAGGUGAACAGGGCAAUCGUGGUGAAAUCUUGCAUCAUUCAUUUUGGAGAUUUUUGCAAGGUUUGCUUUGAUAAAGGCUAACCUUAUUUCUAUAACAUUGAUCAAAUAAUUUCAAUUAAAUAUCUUAGAUAUUCUGCAAGCAUCAAUAUUGACCAGAAAAUUAAUUGGACGUAAUCUAAUCUAGUUAUUUUCCACGAUGCUUUCUUGUACUGUCUACGUUUGUGUCAGAUUAGAUAAGAUUUUCAAAAGUCGAAACUUCCAAGAAGAUAUUGGAAACGUAUUUUUCGCACAAAAUCUUCCUUA